rnacentral:rRNA from 1 species
GGCGGCGUGCCUAAUACAUGCAAGUCGAGCGAACUGACGAGGAGCUUGCUCCUUUGACGUUAGCGGCGGACGGGUGAGUAACACGUGGGUAACCUACCUAUAAGACUGGAAUAACUCCGGGAAACCGGGGCUAAUGCCGGAUAACAUAUCGAACCGCAUGGUUCGAUAGUGAAAGACGGUCUUGCUGUCACUUAUAGAUGGACCCGCGCCGUAUUAGCUAGUUGGUGAGGUAACGGCUCACCAAGGCAACGAUACGUAGCCGACCUGAGAGGGUGAUCGGCCACACUGGAACUGAGACACGGUCCAGACUCCUACGGGAGGCAGCAGUAGGGAAUCUUCCGC